GGAAUCUUCGGCAAUGGGGGCAACCCUGACCGAGCAACGCCGCGUGAGUGAAGAAGGUUUUCGGAUCGUAAAGCUCUGUUGUAAGAGAAGAGCGUGUGUGAGAGUGGAAAGUUCACACAGUGACGGUAACUUACCAGAAAGGGACGGCUAACUACGUGCCGG
rnacentral:rRNA from 1 species